GAGUUUGAUCCUGGCUCAGAUUGAACGCUGGCGGCAGGCCUAACACAUGCAAGUCGAACGGUAACAGGAAGAAGCUUGCUUCUUUGCUGACGAGUGGCGGACGGGUGAGUAAUUUCUGGGAAACUGCCUGAUGGAGGGGGAUAACUACUGGAAACGGUAGCUAAUACCGCAUAACGUCGCAAGACCAAAGAGGGGGACCUUCGGGCCUCCUGCCAUCGGAUGUGCCCAGAUGGGAUUAGCUUGUUGGUGGGGUAACGGCUCACCAAGGCGACGAUCCCUAGCUGGUCUGAGAGGAUGACCAGCCACACUGGAACUGAGACACGGUCCAGACUCCUACGGGAGGCAGCAGUGGGGAAUAUUGCACAAUGGGCGCAAGCCUGAUGCAGCCAUGCCGCGUGUAUGAAGAAGGCCUUCGGGUUGUAAAGUACUUUCAGCGGGGAGGAAGGGAGUAAAGUUAAUACCUUUGCUCAUUGACGUUACCCGCAGAAGAAGCACCGG
rnacentral:rRNA from 1 species